rnacentral:rRNA from 1 species
CCUACGGGGGGCAGCAGUGAGGAAUAUUGGUCAAUGGACGAGAGUCUGAACCAGCCAAGUAGCGUGAAGGAUGACUGCCCUAUGGGUUGUAAACUUCUUUUAUAAAGGAAUAAAACGAGGCACGUGUGCCUUUUCGCAUGUACUUUAUGAAUAAGGAUCGGCUAACUCCGUGCCAGCAGCCGCGGUAAUACGGAGGAUCCGAGCGUUAUCCGGAUUUAUUGGGUUUAAAGGGAGCGUAGAUGGGUUGUUAAGUCAGUUGUGAAAGUUUGAGGCUCAACCGUAAAAUUGCAAUUGAUACUGGCAGUCUAGAGAACAGUUGAGGUAGGCGGAAUUCGUGGUGUAGCGGUGAAAUGCUUAGAUAUCACGCAGAACACCGAUUGCGAAGGCAGCUUACUAAGCUGUGACUGACAUUGAUGCUCGAAAGUGUGGGUAUCAAACAGGAUUAGAUACCCGAGUAGUA